rnacentral:rRNA from 1 species
AGAGUUUGAUCUGGCUCAGGACGAACGCUGGCGGCGUGCUUAACACAUGCAAGUGGAGCGACGAACCAGGGCUUGCCCUGGGGCAAAGCCGCGAGCGGGUGAGUAACACGUGGGUAACCUGCCCCGAAGACCGGGACAACCCGAGGAAACUCGGGCUAAUACCGGAUGUGGUUGCUCUUCAUAAGUAGAGCAAGCAAAGGGAGCUUCGGCCCCCGCUUCGGGAUGGGCCCGCGGCCCAUUAGCUUGUUGGUGAGGUAACGGCUCACCAAGGCGACGAUGGGUAGCUGGUCUGAGAGGACGAUCAGCCACACUGGGACUGAGACACGGCCCAGACUCCUACGGGAGGCAGCAGUGGGGAAUCUUGCGCAAUGGGCGACAGCCUGACGCAGCAACGCCGCGUGAGGGAAGAAGGCUUUCGGGUCGCAAACCUCUUUCAGGAGGGACGAAGCUUCGGGAGUGAAUAGCUCUCCGGAGUGACGGUACUUCCACAAGAAGCCCCGGCUAACUACGUGCCAGCAGCCGCGGUA